CUUGCAAACUUUGGACACAGACUAGUGACUGUCGCUAAUAGCCAAACAACACUGACUGGCACGAAAAAAACAGCUAAGAACACCACUACACCAGUCUAAUUCAUAAACAAACAGCAUAAUAUUUUAAUCUAUCAAAAAACUCUCACGAUACUAAAUACACUUUUCUCCAUAUUGAACAAAAAGAAUUCUCACUGGUGUGCUUUUUGUGAAGAUUUUAUUUUUUAAGAAAUGGGGAGGGGGGAUAAACCCUUUGUUGUUGCUUUCUUGCUUUGGUUUUCUGGUACUGCUUACCACCACUAUUGGCUUCAACUUUGUAACUCACCUUUCUCCGACUAAAAUACUGGCGUGCAGGCUCUUGAAAUACCCACUGGCUGCUACAUUCUCCACGUCCAGGGAAACACGGUUGCUGCUAUGGGUUCAUUCAAAGGCUUGAAGCAAGUCAGAAGAAUUGUUGAAGAAUGCAUGCUGAAUAAAUUGCCUUUGUGGUGUAGAUUUUGGCCGAAGAAAAUAUGUCACUUCUUUUCACAUUGUCAGGUUCUUAUGAUGAAGAAAGAACUUGAAAAGGAUCCAGCACUUGCCCAGGAGAACUGGGAUAGGUUCCUUCCAAAAUUCAAGAAGUAUGCCUUUUAUUUAUUUGACAAAUUGUAUAUUCUUUUAUUCCAAAAUUCACAUUAGAAGCGUCGGUCUAUCUUUUAUUUUAGUAGUGCUAGCAAAUUAAUUACCCUUUCAUUUAGUUUGAAUUUGAGUGACACUUAAAUGAGAACCAAUCGUGCACAAUAUUAAAUUAAACGCAAACUGCUGUGACUUCCGUGUGACUAAAAAUGAUUAAAUUUUCUUUAGAUGUUUUUA